GGAAUUAUUGGGCGUUAAGGGCUCGCAGGCGGUUUUUUAAGUCUGAAUGUGAAAGCCCCCGGCUCAACCGGGGAGGGUCAUUGGAAACUGGGGAACUUGAGUGCAGAAGAGGAGAGUGGAAUUCCACGUGUAGCGGUGAAAUGCGUAGAGAUGUGGAGGAACACCAGUGGCGAAGGCGACUCUCUGGUCUGUAACUGACGCUGAGGAGCGAAAGCGUGGGGAGCGAACAGGAUUAGAUACCCUGGUAGUCCACGCCGUAAACGAUGAGUGCUAAGUGUUAGGGGGUUUCCGCCCCUUAGUGCUGCAGCUAACGCAUUAAGCACUCCGCCUGGGGAGUACGGUCGCAAGACUGAAACUCAAAGGAAUUGACGGGGGCCCGCACAAGCGGUGGAGCAUGUGGUUUAAUUCGAAGCAACGCGAAGAACCUUACCAGGUCUUGACAUCCUCUGACAAUCCUAGAGAUAGGACGUCCCCUUCGGGGGCAGAGUGACAGGUGGUGCAUGGUUGUCGUCAGCUCGUGUCGUGAGAUGUUGGGUUAAGUCCCGCAACGAGCGCAACCCUUGAUCUUAGUUGCCAGCAUUCAGUUGGGCACUCUAAGGUGACUGCCGGUGACAAACCGGAGGAAGGUGGGGAUGACGUCAAAUCAUCAUGCCCCUUAUGACCUGGGCUACACACGUGCUACAAUGGACAGAACAAAGGGCAGCGAAACCGCGAGGUUAAGCCAAUCCCACAAAUCUGUUCUCAGUUCGGAUCGCAGUCUGCAACUCGACUGCGUGAAGCUGGAAUCGCUAGUAAUCGCGGAUCAGCAUGCCGCGGUGAA
rnacentral:rRNA from 1 species